rnacentral:rRNA from 1 species
GAUGAACGCUGGCGGCGUGCCUAAUACAUGCAAGUCGAGCGAACGGACGAGAAGCUUGCUUCUCUGAUGUUAGCGGCGGACGGGUGAGUAACACGUGGAUAACCUACCUAUAAGACUGGGAUAACUUCGGGAAACCGGAGCUAAUACCGGAUGAUAUUUUGAACCGCAUGGUUCAAAAGUGAAAGACGGUCUUGCUGUCACUUAUAGAUGGAUCCGCGCUGCAUUAGCUAGUUGGUAAGGUAACGGCUUACCAAGGCAACGAUGCAUAGCCGACCUGAGAGGGUGAUCGGCCACACUUGAACUGAGACACGGUCCAGACUCCUACGGGAGGCAGCAGUAGGGAAUCUUCCGCAAUGGGCGAAAGCCUGACGGAGCAACGCCGCGUGAGUGAUGAAGGUCUUCGGAUCGUAAAACUCUGUUAUUAGGGAAGAACAUAUGUGUAAGUAACUGUGCACAUCUUGACGGUACCUAAUCAGAAAGCCACGGCUAACUACGUG